AUACGUAGGGUGCAAGCGUUAAUCGGAAUUACUGGGCGUAAAGCGUGUGCAGGCGGUUUUGUAAGACAGUGGUGAAAUCCCCGGGCUCAAACUGGGAACUGCCAUUGUGACUGCAAGGCUGGAGUGCGGCAGAGGGGGAUGGAAUUUCGCGUGUAGCAGUGAAAUGCGUAGAUAUGCGGAGGAACACCGAUGGCGAAGGCAAUCCCCUGGGCCUGCACUGACGCUCAUGCACGAAAGCGUGGGGAGCAAACAGGAUUAGAUACCCUGGUAGUCCACGCCCUAAACGAUGUCAACUGGUUGUUGGGGAUUUAUUUUCUCAGUAACGAAGCUAACGCGUGAAGUUGACCGCCUGGGGAGUACGGCCGCAAGGUUAAAACUCAAAUGAAUUGGCGGGG
rnacentral:rRNA from 1 species